CGGGUGAGUAACGCGUGGGUAACCUGCCUCAUACAGGGGGAUAGCAGCUGGAAACGGCUGGUAAUACCGCAUAAGCGCACAGUACCACAUGGUACAGUGUGAAAAACUCCGGUGGUAUGAGAUGGACCCGCGUCUGAUUAGCUGGUUGGUGAGGUAACGGCCCACCAAGGCGACGAUCAGUAGCCGACCUGAGAGGGUGACCGGCCACAUUGGGACUGAGACACGGCCCAG
rnacentral:rRNA from 1 species